UGGGGAAUCUUCCGCAAUGGGCGAAAGCCUGACGGAGCAACGCCGCGUGAAUGAAGAAGGCCUUCGGGUCGUAAAGUUCUGUCAUUAGGGACGAAUAAGCCAUGCGAAUAGUUUGGUGUAUGACGGUACCUAAGGAGGAAGCUCCGGCUAACUACGUGCCAGCAGCCGCGGUAAUACGUAGGGAGCAAGCGUUGUCCGGAAUUACUGGGCGUAAAGGGCGCGUAGGCGGAUAUUUAAGUCAGAUGUGAAAACUCCAGGCUCAACCUGGAGACUGCAUUUGAAACGGCCAUGCUUGAAUCAUGGAGAGGGUAGCGGAAUUCCGAGUGUAGAGGUGAAAUUCGUAGAUAUUCGGAAGAACACCGGUGGCGAAGGCGGCUACCUGGCCAUGUAUUGACGCUCAGGUGCGAAAGCGUGGGGAGCAAACA
rnacentral:rRNA from 1 species